GAGAAACAUCUUAUCCAUUUUAGAGCAAUGACUGUAAACUGCUGCAGUAAACAAUCUGGACCCUGGACUAGAGAAAAAAAUAAUCCAAAAAGGUUCUUCCAACAGAAAAUAUUAGAUUGGUGUCAUCAAGCAUGCUACAACUAUUGGUGGGAAGCCAAAUAAUUGCUGCUACAUUGAUUAACUUGAUUAUGAUGGAAUUCUGCUUGGAAAAUGUUUCCUAAGAGCAGAAAUGCAAUUUUUUUUAUCUUUGGAAGUUGACAUUCAUAUGCAAAUAUAAAUUUAUGAGUGGAGGAAUGGAAGGAGAUUGAGCAUCAGAAUAAGUAGUUGUUGUCCACAAAAUACAUUUUGCUAUUUUACUUUCUUUUGAUGCCUUAACAGUAUUCCUAGUAAAUUUCACGUUCUGUUAUUCCAUCAGCUCCAUGUGGAUGUCAUGAUAUUUCAUUUUGCCUGACGAUGAUCAAGUUGAGGCGUAGGGUGACUUCACAGAACUACCUAAUCACCAGAUAAAAGACCCCAAAUUUAUCAAGUGGCGGUGAUUGUCAAAGCUACAUGAUACUUCAUUUAGAGAAUUAGAAAGAUAACAUACAGUGAUAUAGAGAUCAAACUUCAGUAGAGCAUAAGUAGUCCAGCAAACACCAUUGAAGAAAGAAGCUACAGAUAGCGUCAGAGGCAUGUACUCCACGCUCUU